rnacentral:tRNA from 1 species
GUUGUUGUGGCCGAGUGGUUAAGGCAUUGGACUUGAAAUCCAUUUCGGUUUCUCUGCACAUGUCAAAAUCCUUACAAUAACG